GGCCCUCACUCGCCGUGCCGGCUGAGGGGCGGAGGGAAAAGCGCGGAGGGCGGGGCGGCGUCGCACAGGAGCCUGAUUAUUGGUUGAGAAGCCGUCUAUCCUGUGGAGCGCGCCUUUUUAUUGGACAAGCGUGAUUCGGAGGAGGCGGGAGCUCCUGUGGCCCUUGGGGCGGAGCCGGCGCCGAAAGAGGCGGGAUCUUUGCGCUGAGAGACAAGAGACGAAGCCCAGGGCCGUCUGGUAGGCCACUGCACGAGGCCAGGGCCACGCAGUCCUCAGAAGAGCGGACGAGCAAAGCCAGCCAUGUGGGCGCUGCAGCCAUUCAUCGGCACAGCAAGUUCCAAGGAAACGGUGCCGGCUGUGAUUGCUGUUGCUGCUGCUUCACUUGGAGGCAGAGUCUCACUGUGCAAUCCAGGCUGUCCUGGAGCUGGGACCCCACCUCCCUUGUACUCUGGAUGCCGGAACUACAAGUGUGUACCACCAUACAUGAAUCCAGCUUCUUCAGCCGUCCAUCUUGGACCGAGGACAGGCAGCUCCACCAGGAAUCCAGUGGGUUGGCCUUCAACACCAUGCUGAGAAUGCUCAGGCACCCAGCCUCACAGACUGAGGAGCAGCCAGCGUCUCAACCUCCUCAGCAUGCAGACAACCACUGUUGGACUACCCAGCCCCUAUCUUGGAAGCCAAUGUAAUAAAUCCCGUCUGUAACAUACA